AUCAUUACCGAGUGCGGGCUGCCUCCGGGCGCCCAACCUCCCACCCGUGACUACCUAACACAGUUGCUUCGGCGGGGAGCCCUCUCGGGGGCGAGCCGCCGGGGACUACUGAACUUCAUGCCUGAGAGUGAUGCAGUCUGAGUCUGAAUAUAAAAUCAGUCAAAACUUUCAACAAUGGAUCUCUUGGUUCCGGCAUCGAUGAAGAACGCAGCGAACUGCGAUAAGUAAUGUGAAUUGCAGAAUUCAGUGAAUCAUCGAGUCUUUGAACGCACAUUGCGCCCCCUGGCAUUCCGGGGGGCAUGCCUGUCCGAGCGUCAUUGCUGCCCAUCAAGCCCGGCUUGUGUGUUGGGUCGUCGUCCCCCCCGGGGGACGGGCCCGAAAGGCAGCGGCGGCACCGUGUCCGGUCCUCGAGCGUAUGGGGCUUUGUCACCCGCUCGAUUAGGGCCGGCCGGGCGCCAGCCGACGUCUCCAACCAUUUUCUUCAGGUUGACCUCGGAUCAGGUAGGGAUACCCGCUGAACUUAAGCAUAUCAAUAAGCGGAGGA
rnacentral:rRNA from 1 species